GAUGAACGCUGACAGAAUGCUUAACACAUGCAAGUCUUUGGCGAAGCUGUGCUUGCACAGCCUAGCCAAGGCGGACGGGUGAGUAACGCGUAAGGAACUUGCCCUGCAGUUAGGGAUAACAGACGGAAACGACUGAUAAGACCUGGUAAAGUCAGGCGGACUCAUGUCCAGCCUGAUGAAAAGUGAUGCUGCAGGAGAGCCUUGCGUCCUAUUAGCUUGUUGGUGGGGUAACGGCCCACCAAGGCGAUGAUAGGUAGCCGGCCUGAGAGGGUGGACGGCCACAAGGGGACUGAGAUACGGCCCUUACUCCUACGGGAGGCAGCAGUGGGGAAUAUUGGACAAUGGGGGCAACCCUGAUCCAGCAAUUCUGUGUGCACGAUGAAGGUUUUCGGAUUGUAAAGUGCUUUCAGCAGGGAAGAAAAAAAUGACGGUACCUGCAGAAGAAGCGACGGCUAAAUACGUG
rnacentral:rRNA from 1 species